UUCUGUAUUUAUUUUUAAAUAUGGAAGACUUGGUCCUCCAUAGCAGAGACAAAGGGAAAAGUAUUAGGCUGGUUUAAAUCUUAUUUAUCUGACAAAUUCCAGUUUGUUCGUGUUAAUGUAGCCGAAAUUGUAAUGUGGGGACAUUACAAUUUCUCACCGCUAGAGUGCGCUUUUGCCCCACUAGCGAUCCCAGAAGUCGACAUGUAGUAAAAAAAAAAAAAACAGUAACUUUACUGUCAGUGCAUGCAUUAGAAGUGGGCCGAUACUGGAAAUGUUUAAUCGAUCCAAUACCAAGUAAACACAGGGUCAGUAUCACUGAUAUCAAUACCGAUAACAAUAUUUUUUAUAUUUAAGCUUGAUGUAUCAUGAAACUGUUGACCUUUUAGUGUUUUUGUGAUUUUUACUUUACUUCUACAAUUGAAUAAUAAUGUUCUAUUCAUAGUGUUUUUUUCCUAAUCCACCUCUUAUGAUAUUAUAUCUUUCAUCCCUAUGUAAUUUUGUUUGUGCUGUGUACACUUGCCUGUUGCUUUAAUUCUAUUAAUUUCCCUGUUGUAUGACAUAUAUCUACUUUGAAAGUUAACAUGAACAGCUGCUGAAGAUGACCACUCUUAUCAACCUGGAUAUUCUCUGGAGGUCUGACACGCCUCUGUCAGUGAUGUCUGUCUGUGGGUUGAGGGUCUGUCGGGGCCAGGCAAUGAGCUAAGACUCGUCUCUUCUCUCUGUUUCUGUAGCGCAAUGUUUUCUUGCUCAUGGUUUUUCAUGUGCUUAUAUAAAUUUGUUGCGUUUCCACUGUAUUUAACUGCCUUUUUACAAACCAUACAGCUUGCUGUUGUUUCAUUUACGGCAUUAAAAUAUAGACAAAUGGGGCUUCUUCCCUCUCCUCCAUGUUUUUCGAGGAGCAGCAGCACAGUUGUUUGCGUGCGAGUGGAGAUAAAGCUGACUGGGCAGGUCAAGAUGAGCCUGCAUGCUGAUUGGCUGGUGCCGCUGAGCCACGUAACGGUGCAAGACGGUGAUGAGAGGGGAGGAGCAGCAAAGUGCUGUGGCACAGACAAGGAGACUUUGGUAAAUCUGCUGCAGUCAGUGCAUGCGGGAGAGAAUAAAGAGUGUCAAUCUUUUUAAACGAGUAUUGUUUACCAGUAUUGCAAUACCAGCGUUGCUAUCGAUAUUAUCGAUACCAAGAUCAAUCUGCCCACCUGUAGCAUGCAUCUCAUCAGCUCUUGGAGGGAGGAAGGUUUACGCUUAUAAACGCCACCGACUUCUGCCACCUUCACACCUGAGACUCAUCAUCACACGCAAGAUAAAAACCCGGUCGAUCUCACCACUCAUCACUGGAUCGUCUGCUGCAUUCAUCCUGGUUCACUCACCUUGCUGAUCUUCAGCCAGCUGGGCUCGUGACCGAUUCUCCUCUCCUGGACGCUGCCACUGCGGCUCACCAUCCACUUCCCAGUUGGUUGCUCGCCGGCCGGUGCCCUCCUCCUCUGGGCCUCGAGUCAGUCGUUCCCGGGUCGCCUGGGUAGUCCCCCUGGUCCGCGUUUCCAUCCACGUUCCUGCGCCCUCCACCCUGGAGAACCGUACUCCCUGCUGUACUUA